UGUCCCGAUGGGGUAGUGGACAUCCCGAAGGCCUGCGGAGCUGUUCGCGGAAAGCCUUCAACCCGGGUUCGAAUCCCGGUCGGGACGU
rnacentral:tRNA from 1 species